UAGGGAAUCUUGCGCAAUGGGGGAAACCCUGACGCAGCAACUCCAUGUGUGGGAAGAAGCUUUUCGGAGUGUAAACCACUGUCGACAGGGAUUAAUGUGCAGGUUCGCCCUGCAUUGAACGUACCUGUAAAGGAAGCACCGGCAAACUUCGUGCCAGCAGCCGCGGUAAUACGAGGGGUGCAAGCGUUGUUCGGAAUUACUGGGCGUAAAGGGAGCGUAGGCGGACUUUCAAGUCUACCGUUCAAUUCUGGGGCCCAACCCCAGGCUUGCGGUGGAUACUGAUUGUCUUGGAUUGGUCAGAGGUUGACGGAAUUCCUGGUGUAGCGGUGGAAUGCGUAGAGAUCAGGAAGAACACCAAUGGUGAAGGCAGUCAACUGGGGCUUUAUCGACGCUGAGGCUC
rnacentral:rRNA from 1 species